rnacentral:rRNA from 1 species
AGUGAACGCUGGCGGUAGGCCUAACACAUGCAAGUCGAACGGCAGCACAGUAAGAGCUUGCUCUUACGGGUGGCGAGUGGCGGACGGGUGCGGAAUACAUCGGAAUCUACUUUUUCGUGGGGGAUAACGUAGGGAAACUUACGCUAAUACCGCAUACGACCUACGGGUGAAAGCAGGGGAUCUUCGGACCUUGCGCGAUUGAAUGAGCCGAUGUCGGAUUAGCUAGUUGGCGGGGUAAAGGCCCACCAAGGCGACGAUCCGUAGCUGGUCUGAGAGGAUGAUCAGUCACACUGGAACUGAGACACGGUCCAGACUCCUACGGGAGGCAGCAGUGGGGAAUAUUGGACAAUGGGCGCAAGCCUGAUCCAGCCAUACCGCGUGUGUGAAGAAGGUCUUCGGGUUGUAAAGCCCUUUUGUUGGGAAAGAAAAGCAGCAGGUUAAUACCCCGCUGUUCUGACGGUACCCAAAGAAUAAGCACCGGCUAACUUCGUG